rnacentral:rRNA from 1 species
AUUGAACGCUGGCGGCAGGCUUAACACAUGCAAGUCGAGCGGGGUGAUGGUGCUUGCACUAUCACUUAGCGGCGGACGGGUGAGUAAUGCUUAGGAAUCUGCCUAUUAGUGGGGGACAACAUCUCGAAAGGGAUGCUAAUACCGCAUACGUCCUACGGGAGAAAGCAGGGGAUCACUUGUGACCUUGCGCUAAUAGAUGAGCCUAAGUCGGAUUAGCUAGUUGGUGGGGUAAAGGCCUACCAAGGCGACGAUCUGUAGCGGGUCUGAGAGGAUAAUCCGCCACCCUGGGACUGAGGCACGGCCCAGACUCCUACGGGAGGCAGCAGUGGGGAAUAUUGGACAAUGGGGGGAACCCUGAUCCAGCCAUGCCGCGUGUGUGAAGAAGGCCUUAUGGUUGUAAAGCACUUUAAGCGAGGAGGAGGCUCUUUUGGUUAAUACCCAAGAUGAGUGGACGUUACUCGCAGAAUAAGCACCGGCUAACUCUGUGCCAGCCGCCGCGGUAA